CUCUGGUUCAUCAAUGUCCAUGUUUGGAGUAUCAGCCAAAAUGCUUAUUCCUGGUAUCUAAAGUAAUGCAAACAGAAAAAAUAAGAAGGCAAAUACCUGGGUAUGAAAAGCCACUGAUGCACGCUGGGCAUACUGAGCCAUUUUGUGCCGGAAAUUGAGAUUCUUACAUAAAUCUGCAAGUUUGUGUUUGUCUGUCAACUCUGGAUAAGUACAGUCAGCCCCAAUAGCCACAGCCAACAAUCGAUGGACAAUGAUGUCUGCAUAUCUAGAUACAUGAAGGAGAAAUAACAAUCAUGGAGAACCAAAAAGAGCUUAUAAAAAGUCAUGAUUGUUUUAUGCAACAUCAAAGCUUAAAAUUUUCUGAAUGCAUUUAAAGGUACUGAAGUAUCAACAUUCUGAAGAAGUUUCAAAGGGGAAAGGGACAGUGG